GCAUUAUACCGUGAAACUGCGAAUGGCUCAUUAAAUCAGUUAUCGUUUAUUUGAUAGUACCUUACUACUUGGAUAACCGUGGUAAUUCUAGAGCUAAUACAUGCUAAAAACCCCGACUUCGGGAGGGGUGUAUUUAUUAGAUAAAAAACCAAUGCCCUUCGGGGCUCUUUGGUGAUUCAUGAUAACUUAACGGAUCGCAUGGCCUUGCGCCGGCGACGGUUCAUUCAAAUUUCUGCCCUAUCAACUUUCGAUGGUAAGGUAUUGGCUUACCAUGGUUUCAACGGGUAACGGGGAAUUAGGGUUCGAUUCCGGAGAGGGAGCCUGAGAAACGGCUACCACAUCCAAGGAAGGCAGCAGGCGCGCAAAUUACCCAAUCCCGACACGGGGAGGUAGUGACAAUAAAUACUGAUACAGGGCUCUUUUGGGUCUUGUAAUCGGAAUGAGUACAAUUUAAACCCCUUAACGAGGAACAAUUGGAGGGCAAGUCUGGUGCCAGCAGCCGCGGUAAUUCCAGCUCCAAUAGCGUAUAUUAAAGUUGUUGCAGUUAAAAAGCUCGUAGUUGAACCUUGGGCCUGGCUGGCCGGUCCGCCUCACCGCGUGUACUGGUCCGGCCGGGCCUUUCCUUCUGGAGAGCCGCAUGCCCUUCACUGGGCGUGUCGGGGAACCAGGACUUUUACUUUGAAAAAAUUAGAGUGUUCAAAGCAGGCCUUUGCUCGAAUACGUUAGCAUGGAAUAAUAGAAUAGGACGCGCGGUCCUAUUUUGUUGGUUUCUAGGACCGCCGUAAUGAUUAAUAGGGAUAGUCGGGGGGCAUCAGUAUUCAAUUGUCAGAGGUGAAAUUCUUGGAUUUAUUGAAGACUAACUACUGCGAAAGCAUUUGCCAAGGAUGUUUUCAUUAAUCAGUGAACGAAAGUUAGGGGAUCGAAGACGAUCAGAUACCGUCGUAGUCUUAACCGUAAACUAUGCCGACUAGGGAUCGGGCGGUGUUUCAAUAUUGACCCGCUCGGCACCUUACGAGAAAUCAAAG
rnacentral:rRNA from 2 species